rnacentral:misc_RNA from 1 species
AACACCUCAGCCAGAUUCUUUUCUGGAUGGACUUGAGCAAACCCAACGUGGCCUCUCCGGAGGCGGCGGCGGGUUGCUUGAAAUGCAGGUGCAGCUGUGACAAGAACAGACUGAGCUAAAAGCAUAUCUAAUUUAGUCCGCCUGGCGGAUUAUCUCUAUUUGCUGCAGUUCAACCAAAGUCGUCUUGUCUGGCUGACUGAUGCAGGAUUUGUCAGACUUUCUAUCCUCUCUUUCUGGGAGAUAGACUUCUUUCAAA